rnacentral:ncRNA from 1 species
UCUUAUCAAGAGUAGCUGAGGGACUGGCCCGUUGAAGCUCGGCAACCAUCUAUACCAAAAGUAUAGAAAGGUGCUAAAUCCUGCAAAACAUUUUUGUUUUGGAAGAUAAGA